rnacentral:rRNA from 1 species
AUCCGCUUUGAGAUGGCCUCGCGUCCGAUUAGCUGGUUGGUGAGGUAACGGCCCACCAAGGCGACGAUCGGUAGCCGGACUGAGAGGUUGAACGGCCACAUUGGGACUGAGACACGGCCCAGACUCCUACGGGAGGCAGCAGUGGGGAAUAUUGCACAAUGGGGGAAACCCUGAUGCAGCGACGCCGCGUGGAGGAAGAAGGUCUUCGGAUUGUAAACUCCUGUUGUUGAGGAAGAAAAGGACGGUACUCAACAAGGAAGUGACGGCUAACUACGUGCCAGCAGCCGCGGUAAAACGUAGGUCACGAGCGUUGUCCGGAAUUACUGGGUGUAAAGGGAGCGCAGGCGGGUAGACAAGUUGGGAGUGAAAUGCAUGGGCUCAACCCAUGAACUGCUCUCAAAACUGUAGAUCUUGAGUAGUGCAGAGGUAGGCGGAAUUCCCGGUGUAGCGGUGGAAUGCGUAGAUAUCGGGAGGAACACCAGUGGCGAAGGCGGCCUACUGGGCACCAACUGACGCUGAGGCUCGAAAGUGUGGGUAGCAAACAGGAUUAGAUACCCUGGUAGUCCACACCGUAAACGAUGAUUACUAGGUGUUGGAGGAUAGACCCCUUCAGUGCCGCAGUUAACACAAUAAGUAAUCCACCUGGGGAGUACGACCGCAAGGUUGAAACUCAAAGGAAUUGACGGGGGCCCGCACAAGCAGUGGAGUAUGUGGUUUAAUUCGACGCAACGCGAAGAACCUUACCAAGUCUUGACAUCCUCUG